rnacentral:rRNA from 1 species
UUUCGAAUCGUUCGCAAUGGGCGAAAGCCUGACGACGCAACGCCGCGUGGGGGAUGAAGGCCUUCGGGUCGUAAACCCCUGUCAUCAAGGAGCAAAAUCCGGUGAAGAGCCGGCCUGAGUUAACUUGAAGAGGAAGAGGUGGCUAACUCCGUGCCAGCAGCCGCGGUAAUACGGAGACCUCGAGCGUUACUCGGAUUCACUGGGCGUAAAGCGUGCGUAGGCGGUUGGAUGUGUCAGGUGUGAAAGUCUGUGGCUUAACCAUAGAAUUGCGCCUGAAACUGUCUAACUUGAGUACUGGAGAGGUAAGUAGAAUUCCCGGUGUAGCGGUGAAAUGCGUAGAUAUCGGGAGGAAUACCAAUGGCGAAGGCAGCUUACUGGACAGAUACUGACGCUGAGGCACGAAAGCAUGGGGAGCGAAAG